AUACAGAAGCCUCAAGCGUUACCCGGAUUCACUGGGCGUAAAGGGUUCGUAGGCGGUUAUAUUAGUCGGGUGUUAAAUCCUGAGGCUCAACCUCAGGCUCGCAUUCGAAACGGUAUAACUAGAAGACGUGAGAGGUGAACAGAACUCAUGGUGUAGGGGUGAAAUCCGUUGAUAUCAUGGGGAAUACCAAAUGCGAAGGCAGUUCACUGGCACUUUCUUGACGCUGAGGAACGAAAGCGUGGGUAGCGAACGGGAUUAGAAACCCCAGUAGUCC
rnacentral:rRNA from 1 species